AGAAUAAGAAGAAAAAACAAAUUAAACAGAGCAAGUUAAAACGACUUGUUCCUCCGAAAUCCCCCUUCUGUGUACUUACUGAACUUGCAAAUGGACUUGCAAUUACAAUAAACUUUAAACAGUCGUCAGAGGUGUCGCAUGUGAGCAUACCCUUGUACAGCUGUACAUUAACUAUAAAUAAGAUCUCAUACUCAGGCAUCGGGCCGAGCAAGGAUAUCGCUAAGAAUAUAGCAGCAGAACAGGCAGUUGUCCAAUUAAUAAAAGACCGGCACGGUCAGCUGCCUGCUCAUGGGGCUAGUGAGGAGAUAAACGCUACAGUACAGGAGUCUUUUAACAGUUCAUGGCAGGGUCUAGCCAGCCUUGCAGUCUUUAAACUCUUAAGCGACUGGAAGUCACAGGGAUUAGAGCUACCCGAGCAUUUUACCAGUGGAUCAUUAUUGAAACAGCCCCGAUUACUACA